rnacentral:rRNA from 1 species
GGAAGGUCCGGGCGUUAUCCGGAUUUACUGGGUGUAAAGGGAGCGUAGACGGCAGUGCAAGUCUGAAGUGAAAGCCCGGGGCUCAACCCCGGGACUGCUUUGGAAACUGUGCAGCUAGAGUGUCGGAGAGGCAAGCGGAAUUCCUAGUGUAGCGGUGAAGUGCGUAGAUAUUAGGAGGAACACCAGUGGCGAAGGCGGCUUGCUGGACGAUGACUGACGUUGAGGCUCGAAAGCGUGGGGAGCAAACAGGAUUAGAUACCCUGGUAGUCCACGCCGUAAACGAUGACUACUAGGUGUCGGGGAGCAAAGCUCUUCGGUGCCGCANCCAACGCAAUAAGUAGUCCACCUGGGGAGU